GGGGACAAUAUUUAGAGAUAAUACCACAACAUCAACCCUAAGUGAUAUGUUUUUAUCCUCAGAAUCUGUUUGAAUCUUCAACAUUUGAUACUACUUAACGUAGGGAAUUUGUUAAAGCAUCCUCCGACACUUUACUACUUUUCAAUGUGAAGAAAGCUGACAGUUUUGAUUGCUUAUUAGCUAGUUGGUCCAGCUGGUAAGGUACCCUAUCAAAGAAAGCUAAAACAUAAGCACUUUGCUAGGGCAGUCACCACUCCAAUUCCAACAAUAAAGGUGAAAGCCAAAAUAGAUCAAAAAUAUGAAUAAGUCAGAAUACACAAAACUAGCACCGCAAAAACAAUAGUCCACAUUCAGAACAGGACUAACAACCUAAAACUGACAAGAGAUAAUCGGGAUUUGAAUAAGUUAGGAUUUUAUUACCUUUGAAAAUGGGGGAACGAGGUAACUCAACGAUAACUUUAACUGAGGACGCAACGGCCACCACCGCAACAAAGGACUCAAUGACCACCACAACUCAGAAUGAACCGGCGACUACAACGACAACAGUGACCGUAACGACAAAAACAACCGCAACAGCGACACACAUAAACCCUAACUGAUGAAAGAGACCACAAAAUAAUGAUGAGCAGCGUUGCGGGAGCUGCAUUCGUUGAGAAGAAAUGAGGAUGAGCCGUGUUAUAGGAGAAAUCAAAUGGUUGCAUGAAAAAUUUUAGGGAAAAGAUGAGAGGUGCUGCGGAGGGAAAGGGGAAAAUUUGAGGGGAAAAAUGAAAGUUUUGCAUGUUGGUAUCGUAGGGAGUAAUUUUUAAAAGAGUUUAGCGCAGCGGAUUAAUAACACAGAGAGCGUAAAGCGUAUUAGGUCACAGUUGAAACGAUUUUAGCCUUUUCUUAUAAAAACAAUUUUCUUUCAGAAAAUUUACCAAGCANUUGAUGUGNNUUAAAGUAAAAUGAGUAUAGGGCAUAAGAAAAGCACACAAGGAUUUUUAUACUGGUUCGAUUCAACAGAAUCUACGUCCAGUCAUUAAUC
rnacentral:lncRNA from 1 species